rnacentral:rRNA from 1 species
UUGAUUACGUCCCUGCCCUUUGUACACACCGCCCGUCGCUGCCCGGGACUGAGCCAUUUCGAGAAACUUGGGGAUCGCUGGUCGGGGACUUUCGGGUCUUCCUUCCGGUGAAAACCAAUUUAAUCGCAGUGGCUUGAACCGGGCAAAAGUCGUAACAAGGUGGCUGUAGGUGAACCUGCUGCCGGAUCAUUAACGACAAAAACAUACCACAUUGGAUAUGUAUCGAAGGCUGGCUCCUGACCGUCGUUUCGGUUAGUCCAGCAUCAAGUCUAUGGAGGCCAGGCGUGAGCCAUUGGGUGUAGCAGCUUUAUUGCUCUUCAUCCCUGAUUCGGGACCAUAGACGAAAACGGCUUCGUUGGCUCCUAAGCAUCGCUGAGCAGUUGUGCCUCGUCCGUGGCUGCGAUGAGGUGAUGUGGUAGGCCCUAUGCAUAUGGGCUAGGAUUAAUGAACACCUGCUACGGUGUUGCCAACAAAAAACCCCCAUUUUUCAAUUUUUUAUGAAAGAAAAAUUCUAGUCUUAUCGGUGGAUCACUCGGCUCGUAGGUCGAUGAAGAACGCAGCCAAAUGCGAUAAUUGGUGUGAACUGCAGAUAUUUUGAGCACUAAGAUUUCGAAUGCACAUUGCGCCAUGGGAAUUUUAUCCCUUGGCACAUCUGGUUCAGGGUCGUUUUUGUCUAAAGCGAAUGCUUUCACAGUGAAACCGCGAACAGUUGCACGAUCACUUGCUUUGCCCAGCCUAGCUGGCGAGCUUUUGGUGUUCAUGCAUAUUGGAGAAGUCCAUUCCUGCCCAUUGACUCCGGUGGCAGGCCCGUGGCGUGGCAUUGUAGCUUCUAAGCCGCACACGGUGCUUUGCUCUGGGUCUACUGGGCGCAAUCGCUAUUUCGACCUGAACUCAGGCGUGAGCACCUGCUGAACUUAAGCAUAUCAUUUAGCGGAGGA